rnacentral:rRNA from 1 species
AUGUAUUCAUACAUCCAUCCUUACGGGAGAUCGGAUUGCAUUGGAGCAAUAGAUGGGACACAUAUUCCAAUUAGCAUAUCUCCAAAAGACCAAGAUCCAUAUCGUAACAGAAAAGGAACAUUGUCACAAAAUGUCAUGGUUGCAUGUUAUUUUGAUAAUCAUUUCGUCCAUGUCAGUAGCGGAUGGGAAGUUGGUGGAGCAAGCAAAAUGCAAUCAGCAUCCACAAAACUCUUGAGAGCUAUUCAAUCUGGGGCAUGCACGACAUCUUAA